rnacentral:lncRNA from 1 species
UCUGUCUCAAAGAAAAAGAAAAAAGAAGAUUAGUUUUGACGAUUUGUUCUGGUAAGAUCUGGGAGCUGGAUUUAAGGAGCCCUGAACUUGGUGCCUUUUCCUUACUUUCCUUUUCUCCCUGCCCCCACCUGCCCGCCCCCUGUUGACUAGCUUAUUUUGUACAUCCCCAUACCAAAUCCCUUAAGAAUUGCAGGAUGUGACGCAGAUGAGGAAAAAUCCAUUCUAGAGGGGAGAUGCUAGAUGAUGGAAAACCUGGAUCUCAUCGGUCUCUGGUGGAGAUCUCCAACAUGCAGCAAGAAUAGACUACAAGAGGCUGCACUUAGCCUCCAGAGUUGUCUCUUCAACAAGACAGGUCUGAUCAUCUCAGUAACCUUCUUCUGGGACUCCUGUUAGACGUGUAUAUUUAAUACCAUUGGCUAAGUCGUAACAAUCAUCCAAGUCAACCGACCUCCCAGCCUGCCCACAUUGCCUCCCUGUAGGAAGUGAUUUUGCACACAGAAGCCCCUGGUGGGGUAGGGUGGAGUGUGAAGUAUCUGUUCUUGGACCACAGUUCCAUCCCUGGAGCAGCAAUUGUGAAGCAUCGUUCUCCUGUUCCAGCAUCUCUCCAAAGACGCUCAGGUCUCCGUCACAGGAUCACCAUUGAAAAAGGUGUCUGUCCCUCUGACACAUACCCAGGGGAGGAAAGAGCAAGCUUUGGAGGCACCUGGUUGACUUCACCUGGAGAAACAUAAAAGUCUGCUAAAGGUUGCUAGAAUUUUUUCUGAUUUAAAACAAAAUGAAACAAAGAAAGCCGACGACAUAGUUUGGAUCUGUGUUCCUGCCGCAGUCUCACGUGGAACUGCAGUCCCCAGUUUUGGAGAUCUUGUUGGGUCUGUAGUUUAUGCCUGGAAGUGCUGCAGCCUUUUUGCAUCCAUGAAGGAAUCUAGCCUGAGAACAACAGUACCACGAAGAGAGAAUGCCGAGCCAAAAGAAUCACCAAGAGGGGACCCAGAUCCCUGAUUAACCCGUGCCUGGAGCUACCACUACCUUUGCUUUCUUGCCUCAUGUGAUAAUACAUUUCCUCACUGUUUGAAAUUCAUUGAGUCCAGUUUUCUCUUACUUGUAGCCAAAGGCAUCCUUAACAAUGUAAUUGACUCCACUUUGCAGAUGAACAAAGAGACAAAGAGGGCAAGUGACACCUACAGUCACACCACUGGUAAAUGUAUUAAGAACAUGCAGGCAUUAGGGAGUAAAGUUUAUACAUAAUUUAAAGUAGUAUGUAGGAGUUUAGGACAGGCCACCCCAAAAUAUGCUGCUUUGGCAUAAAGACUACUUUGAGCUGGAGGAACUUGAAAAACAGUACAUGCAGACAGUGGCUUUCUCUGAAUUCCCUUUAUCUGCCUAAAGACAAAACCUCCAAAAGGAGCUCAGUUGUCGUCAGUACCCCCACCCCUGGGAGUUUCAUCAACCAGGGAAAAUUAACUCUUAUCACAGGAGAGGAGAAUGGAGGUGACAUCACACCCAAGGUUUGUCACAAGCUAUCACUUAUUCUGAGGGUCUAUUCAUCUUUCCCCAAAAUCAUUUUCUCUCUCCUAAAUUGCCUACAUCCCCCCUCCCUGCUUUCCCCAAAAAGAGGGUAUAUAACCUUCUAAAUCUCACUGUUUUAAGGGGUAUGACUUUUUUUCCUAUGAUGUCCCUGUGCACUUAAUAAACUUGUGUAUCUUUUAUCCUGUUAAUCUGCCUGUUGUCAGUUUAUUUCAUAGACCCAGUUACUAAACCUUGGAAAUUAGAGGGAAAAUCUUCUCCCUCCUCCCUCCCAAAGGACUUCCAAACAUAUUUUAUAAAUUAUAUGUACUUAUACUGUCAUAGUCACAUAUACACACCACAACUAAAAUUAUGGUUCA